UACGUAGGGGCCUAGCGUUGUCCGGAUUUAUUGGGCGUAAAGAGCUCGUAGGCGGUUUGUCGCGUCUGCCGUGAAAGUCCGGGGCUCAACUCCGGAUCUGCGGUGGGUACGGGCAGACUAGAGUGAUGUAGGGGAGACUGGAAUUCCUGGUGUAGCGGUGAAAUGCGCAGAUAUCAGGAGGAACACCGAUGGCGAAGGCAGGUCUCUGGGCAUUAACUGACGCUGAGGAGCGAAAGCAUGGGGAGCGAACAGG
rnacentral:rRNA from 1 species